rnacentral:rRNA from 1 species
GAUGAACGCUGGCGGCGUGCCUAAUACAUGCAAGUCGAGCGAACAGACGGGGAGCUUGCUCCUCUGACGUUAGCGGCGGACGGGUGAGUAACACGUGGAUAACCUACCUAUAAGACUGGGAUAACUUCGGGAAACCGGAGCUAAUACCGGAUAAUAUAUUGAACCGCAUGGUUCAAUAGUGAAAGACGGUUUUGCUGUCACUUAUAGAUGGAUCCGCGCCGCAUUAGCUAGUUGGUAAGGUAACGGCUUACCAAGGCGACGAUGCGUAGCCGACCUGAGAGGGUGAUCGGCCACACUGGAACUGAGACACGGUCCAGACUCCUACGGGAGGCAGCUGUAGGGAAUCUUCCGCAAUGGGCGAAAGCCUGACGGAGCAACGCCGCGUGAGUGAUGAAGGUCUUCGGAUCGUAAAACUCUGUUAUUAGGGAAGAACAAAUGUGUAAGUAACUAUGCACGUCUUGACGGUACCUAAUCAGAAAGCCACGGCUAACUACGUG